ensembl:miRNA
UCAGUGGAUCUGCGCUCGACAGUGCAGCCUAGGCGGAGUAGUCGAGCGCAGAUUCACUGAGC